rnacentral:rRNA from 1 species
AGAGUUUGAUCCUGGCUCAGAUUGAACGCUGGCGGUAUGCUUAACACAUGCAAGUCGAACGGUAGCAGGCCUUCGGGCGCUGACGAGUGGCGGACGGGUGAGUAACGCGUAGGAAUCUGCCUCAUAGUGGGGGACAACGUGGGGAAACUCACGCUAAUACCGCAUACGCCCUACGGGGGRAAGCGGGGGAUCUUCGGACCUCGCGCUAUGAGAUGAGCCUGCGUUAGAUUAGCUAGUUGGUGGGGUAAAGGCCUACCAAGGCGACGAUCUAUAGCUGGUCUGAGAGGACGAUCAGCCACACUGGGACUGAGACACGGCCCAGACUCCUACGGGAGGCAGCAGUGGGGAAUAUUGGACAAUGGGCGAAAGCCUGAUCCAGCAAUACCGCGUGUGUGAAGAAGGCCUUMGGGUUGUAAAGCACUUUCAAUKGGGAGGAAAACCUACCGGUCAAUACCCGGUAGCUUGACAUUACCUWUAGAAGAAGCACCGGCUAACUCCGUGCCAGCAGCCGCGGUAAUACGGAGGGUGCGAGCGUUAAUCGGAAUUACUGGGCGUAAAGCGUGCGUAGGCGGUUCGUUAAGUCAGAUGUGAAAGCCCUGGGCUCAACCUGGGAACGGCAUUUGAAACUGGCRGACUAGAGUUUAGUAGAGGGGAGUGGAAUUUCAGGUGUAGCGGUGAAAUGCGUAGAUAUCUGAAGGAACACCAGUGGCGAAGGCGACUCCCUGGACUAGAACUGACGCUGAGGUACGAAAGCGUGGGUAGCAAACAGGAUUAGAUACCCUGGUAGUCC